CAAUAACAACAGGUUACUGAGACUACCACCUCGGUAACGUUAGCUUCCUAGCCAGUAUAAAAUCAAACAUUUUAACAAAUGUUGUGUAGCUACACGAAUUGCAGUUUUUUAAACAUGAUUACGUUAACGUUUCUAGCUACUAGUUGAUUAAAAGGUAAUUUGCUUGCUAAAUUUGCACCCCAAAAUAAUUCAUACUGAGACGAGCUAACAUCUCAGCUACUUCUCCCCUGCUAAAGAAGAGGAGGUCUGUUGGACAGAGGAAGAAGCUCUUGUGAAAGAGGAAGACGAGGCUGUCACAGUUAAAAACAAUAAGUAGCGGGUGAGGCUGUUAGAGUGAACGAGAAAGACGUUUCAGUGAAAGAAAAGGAAGACGCGUUCAGAGUGAAAUAAGAGGAGGAGGAGAAAGAUGAGGCUGCCGUUUUUAGAGUCGAAGAAGGAGAGGACUGUCACGGUGAAAUAAGAGAAAGACGUUUUUGGAGUUAAGGGUCACAUUGCAGGAGAAGGAAGAAGAGAACAACGAUGAAGAUCUGAUUAACACCAGUAUUGCUGGUUGAGAGAAAGCCAACAGUGUGCAAACCUGUCAAGGCAAAAGGUUCAAAACUCAAAGUUGCAUAAUGGCCAAGAAAAAGCUGCCAUACAAGCUACGUAUAAGAUGCAAUAAGGAUGAACGAGUCCCAUCCUCUCCAAGAAUAAACAGUGGAACCAUAAAGCCAAGUUGGAGAACCAGCAUAAAGAAUAAAGACCCCCAAAAAUAUGAGGAAAUAUUAAACAAAGGACGAAACUACAACAAAACAUGUAGACAUGAGAUGUCCCUUGCUGAUAGUAUCCUAAAAAAGAGGAACAUUUCAAGCAAAGAGAGGGAGAAGGCAGAAAAGCUGCAGCAGCAUGAAACAUAUAUAAUGCCAGUGCUUCCUGGAGAAUGAGGAAGAUGAGAGCAAAGCGAAGAGAGGAAGACCGGAGCGACCAGAAACGUGUUAAGAAAACACAAGAAGAACUGAAUUGCAGAAGAACAACAGAGAGAAGAAUGCAAAGCUUAAAGAAAACAUCAACAGAGAGCAGCUAGGUCAAAAGAGGAGCAUGAAGGAGAAAAAGCAAAAAGAUGGCAAAAAUAUAGUCAGAACAAAGAAAUGGCAACGCAGAAUGAACAGGCAACGCAGCAUAACAAGAUAAUAUGGGAGCAGAAAGAAUUAGUCUCAAGAAACAAGAGGAUAAAGAACCUAGAAACUAACUUGAACAUUGUAAAAGAGCCUUGCAGAUAGCAGGGCAAGAUGUACGGAGUCCAGAAGGAAGAGCCUCAAGUGGCUGAAGCCUGUAUGUCAAAACAGGCAGCACAGUACGUCACUGCUAUCAUGGAGCUCAUUGACAAGGCCUCACAGAGGAAGGCAGUCAUUUUCCCGCAAAGGAACAUCGGAACCACAACAGAAGGGGAUGUUGGAAGUGGCAGUUGUUGAAGCAGUAGCCUAAGGCCUAUCAAAAGUCCAGACAAUCUGCAACUAGGAAGGCUUUGGCUUGUUCACUGAAUAUGAUUAACCUCUAUGGGCUAGGUGGGACGCUAGCGUGCCACCCGUGGUGCACUCCAUCAACAGCAGGUGCAUUUCAAGAGCGGCAAAUUUGAAUCCAAAUAAAUGUCAAAAUUCAAAUUUUUCAAACAUACAACUAUUUUACACCCUUUGAAAGAUAAACAUCUCCUUAAUCUAACC